AUAUUUCUUGAUAACGCCAUGUGAGUCGUUUGAACUGAAAUAGUGUUAUCGACGGUCUUCGACGGGGAUAAGCUUAUUGGUUCUAUCAGUGUGCACAAGAACAUCGGGAUUUUGGAUUUCGAAGCAUCAAAUUUAUUUUACCAUGGUGGUUUUGGCCGAGUCUGGAACCAUGGUUUAUUGGCAAAUAUCAUUGAAGAGGAGGUUUAUGUUCUAGUCAUUGAUGAGGU